GUUUACAGUAGCAUGGAAAAGUAGCUUGGAAUUUUAACUGGAUGCUUAUUGUCCUUGAUAAUACUCCAUUCUGCCACUGUCUUCCAUCUUCUUACUAGCUAAAUAAUUGACAGUGAAUUUGGGUGGACUUGGCAAAGAAUGAAAAUCAAGUCAGUGAAGAUUCUGUGUUGUGGAGGCAAAAGAAAAAGAAGAGAAACAUUCAAGUACAGUGGAGAUGCUUAUCUUCAGUGGUGAACCAUUCAGAGCCUCUAUCUGAAGACUCCUUUGGUGGAUAUACUCACUAAUGGCUAUUUGGUAUUCUAGUGUCUGGGCCUCCUGCUCUUCUGACCUUGAGUAUCCUCUUCCAUAGCAAACAACUCUUUUUCUUUGGAAUAUAGUGCAGCGAAUAGGGUAGUGAGACAUUGUCAAAGAAUUUGGACUUUGUUCCCUUGCUUCUCUGAUCUUGAGCGAGGCAAGUAGUUCCUGCCAACUUCAUAUUGCCUCUGAGGACACAACUUUAAGACCUGCCAGGGAUUUUUCUUGACUUUGUAUCUGUGGCACCUGAUGCUGAAGUGGUCAUAAUCAAGUUCCAAAGUGGUCUGGAGCAUUUGCAAUACAGAACCUGCUUCUCUUGCUACUUGGACCAUAUUCAAAUCCACGGGAGGAGGCUGGGGAGCAACCAUAUCAUUUUCACAGCAGUUGCACCAUUUAUAUUCCUACCAGUAAUACACAAGGGUACCAAUUUCUCCAUAUCCUCACCAACACUUGUUAUUUUCUACUUUUUUAUUUAUAUCCAUCCUGAUAUAGUAUCUCACUAUGGUCUUCACUUGCAUUUCCCUAAUAAUUAGUGAUG